AGUGAUACCUGGCAGAGGAGAUAUCAUGAUCCAGAAGGUGAUUUUCUCAGGGUGAGGCUCAUCCAUUUCACUUGGGAUGUGCUGACCCCUGCAUCUCCCCAAAUGUGGGAAAUGCAACUGCCUAAUUUGUGAUAAUAGGCAACUAUGUUGAGGCCCUC
rnacentral:snRNA from 1 species